rnacentral:rRNA from 1 species
AGCGAACGCUGGCGGCAGGCCUAACACAUGCAAGUCGAGCGCCGUAGCAAUACGGAGCGGCAGACGGGAGAGUAACACGUGGGAACGUACCCUUUGGUUCGGAACAACCCAGGGAAACUUGGGCUAAUACCGGAUAAGCCCUCACGGGGAAAGAUUUAUCGCCGAAGGAUCGGCCCGCGUCUGAUUAGCUAGUUGGUGAGGUAAUGGCUCACCAAGGCGACGAUCAGUAGCUGGUCUGAGAGGAUGAUCAGCCUCACUGGGACUGAGACACGGCCCAGACUCCUACGGGAGGCAGCAGUGGGGAAUAUUGGACAAUGGGCGCAAGCCUGAUCCAGCCAUGCCGCGUGGGUGAUGAAGGCCCUAGGGUUGUAAAGCCCUUUCAGCGGGGAAGAUAAUGACGGUACCCGCAGAAGAAGCCCCGGCUAACUUCGUGCCAGCAGCCGCCGCGGUAA